rnacentral:lncRNA from 1 species
GUACGAUAAAUACAACGGAAUCUUAAAUUAAAUAGCACCUACCUCAAAAACUUCAUUUUAAUUAAAUGUUAUCCGAAUUUGAAGCGUACACGUAACGAAAAAUAAUCUUUCCCUUGAAAAUUUCCAUUCGUAUGACGUCGUGUUUUGCCAUGACGUAAAUUCGCCAAAUUCUUCAUGAAAUUUCGCGGAAUUUUAUUAAAUUUUAUUUUUAGACAUUUUCGAAGCUUUAGUGCUUUAAAUUUUUUUUUUUUGGUUAUAUAUGCACUAGAAUAGUCACAACUGUUAUGCAAUUGUUUUUAAAUCUCAAUUUGCUGAAAAUCCCGGGAUCACUGCAAGCUUGUGUAUCGCGCAUGAAUAGAUUACAAAAGUAGUUUCGUAAACAUGGUUUAUCGAAGUGUAAACUUAGAGAAAAAUUCUAAUUGACCAAUCCAAUUCAAGUAUUUAUAGAUAUACAAAUCAUAUAAGAAUUAUU